rnacentral:rRNA from 1 species
GUUUGAUCCUGGCUCAGGAUGAACGCUAGCUACAGGCUUAACACAUGCAAGUCGAGGGGCAGCAUGAACUUAGCUUGCUAAGUUUGAUGGCGACCGGCGCACGGGUGAGUAACACGUAUCCAACCUUCCGUUUACUCAGGGAUAGCCUUUCGAAAGAAAGAUUAAUACCUGAUAGUAUGGUGAGAUUGCAUGAUAGCACCAUUAAAGAUUUAUUGGUAAACGAUGGGGAUGCGUUCCAUUAGGUAGUAGGCGGGGUAACGACCCACCUAACCGACGAUGAUAGGUAGGGGUUCUGAGAGGAAGGUCCCCCACAUUGGAACUGAGACACGGUCCAAACUCCUACGGGAGGCAGCAGUGAGGAAUAUUGGUCAAUGGACGAGAGUCUGAACCAGCCAAGUAGCGUGAAGGAUGAAGGUCCUACGGAUUGUAAACUUCUUUUAUAAGGGAAUAAACCCUCCCACGUGUGGGAGCUUGUAUGUACCUUAUGAAUAAGCAUCGGCUAACUCCGUGCCAGCAGCCGCGGUAAUACGGAGGAUGCGAGCGUUAUCCGGAUUUAUUGGGUUUAAAGGGAGCGCAGACGGGUCGUUAAGUCAGCUGUGAAAGUUUGGGGCUCAACCUUAAAAUUGCAGUUGAUACUGGCGUCCUUGAGUGCGGUUGAGGUGUGCGGAAUUCGUGGUGUAGCGGUGAAAUGCUUAGAUAUCACGAAGAACUCCGAUUGCGAAGGCAGCACACUAAUCCGUAACUGACGUUCAUGCUCGAAAGUGUGGGUAUCAAACAGGAUUAGAUACCCUGGUAGUCCACACGGUAAACGAUGGAUACUCGCUGUUGGCGAUAUACUGUCAGCGGCUUAGCGAAAACGUUAAGCAUCCCACCUGGGGAGUACGCCGGCAACGGUGACCUCAAAGGAAUUGA